GAUGAACGCUGGCGGCGUGCCUAAUACAUGCAAGUCGAGCGAACGGACGAGAAGCUUGCUUCUCUGAUGUUAGCGGCGGACGGGUGAGUAACACGUGGAUAACCUACCUAUAAGACUGGGAUAACUUCGGGAAACCGGAGCUAAUACCGGAUAAUAAUUUGAACCGCAUGGUUCAAAAGUGAAAGACGGUCUUGCUGUCACUUAUAGAUGGAUCCGCGCUGCAUUAGCUAGUUGGUAAGGUAACGGCUUACCAAGGCAACGAUGCAUAGCCGACCUGAGAGGGUGAUCGGCCACACUGGAACUGAGACACGGUCCAGACUCCUACGGGAGGCAGCAGUAGGGAAUCUUCCGCAAUGGGCGAAAGCCUGACGGAGCAACGCCGCGUGAGUGAUGAAGGUCUUCGGAUCGUAAAACUCUGUUAUUAGGGAAGAACAUAUGUGUAAGUAACUGUGCACAUCUUGACGGUACCUAAUCAGAAAGCCACGGCUAACUACGUG
rnacentral:rRNA from 1 species